AACAUUUAAAUCAGUAGCAGGUGUGUUGAAGCUCAUGGCUAUGGAGUGUGUGGGAAGUUCAGUCCAUAUUAGAAUGCUCACAUAUGUUC